rnacentral:rRNA from 1 species
ACACUGACGUCGCGACGCAUAUCAAUAAGCGGAGGAAAAGAAACUAACAUAGGAUUCCCUUAGUAACGGCGAGUGAAGCGGGAAGAGCUCAAAUUUGAAAUCUUCAAGGUUCUACCUUGACGAAUUGUAGUUUAAAGAAGUGUUUUCUGUUGGAGUUUUGGUAAAAGUUCUUUGGAAUAGGACAUCAUAGAGGGGUGAGAAUCCCGUAUUUGACCAUUAUUUCCAGCUUUGUGAUACACUUUUAAAGAGUCGGAUUGUUUGGGAAUGCAGUCCAAAAUGGGUGGUAAAUUUCAUCUAAAGCUAAAUAUUGGCGAGAGACCGAUAGCGAACAAGUACCGUGAGGGAAAGAUGAAAAGAACUUUGAAAAGAGAGUUAAACAGUACGUGAAAUUGUCAAAAGGGAAGCGUUUGACACCAGUGUUGUUUUUCUCGAAAAUCAAUUAUAAUCAUGGCAGAUUUGUAAGUUGUAUUGACUUUAUCAGGCUUUCUGCUAGCUUUUUCUUGUCUUGUUGAAUGCACUUUUCGGUUAACAAGUCAACAUCAAUUUCUUUUGUUGUAAAAGAGUCAAUUGGAAGGUGGCUUUCAGCUUCGGUUAAAGUGUUUAUAGCCUUUGACUUCUGCAGUCGGAGAGAUUGAGGUCUGCAGCGUAGACUCCUUUCGGGUUAGAUACAUUUGUGCUAGGUUAUAGCUUUUCAUAGACAACAUUGUUGACUAUGAUUUAGUCUUGUAGCUUACUCGCAGUAUGUCUAUUUUACCUACGCUUAGGAUGUUGACGCGCGUGUGUGCGUG